UUGGGGAGUAGCCGCCGGCCGCCUUGAAGGCCGGGACCACGUCAACAUAUUCGCGCUUCGGCGCGUGGCGCGGUCAGCGGAGGUCAUCCGCCUGGCGAGACCAGCGCGUCCCACCGUCUCGCCGGCGGCGUGGGAUGCGCGUCUCGUCGUCCGGCGGAGUGA
rnacentral:sRNA from 2 species